AUUAGAAACAAUAGUGUACGCCUGUGGAGGCCUCGUUUGUUCAGGGGCUGCCGGCCAGGGCUUCAGGACGUUUCUGCGGCUUUCCCCGCGCGGCCUGGGCUCCCGCGGCUGCUUUUCGGGCCCAUGGGCGCAGCCACUGCGCCAGGCUCAAGGGGGGCGGCCCCGUCAGGGCCCGCCAUCUUGGAAGGCCUUUUUUGCCGGUUCUUCCCGCUGAGGAAGUGUCGCUCAAGACGCUGGCCUAUGAGUUGUGAUUUCUGCCUUUUCCCCUUCCUCCUUGGGCUAAGCCAGACCAGAAAGGGCCCCGUGCGCAACGUGCUUCACAAUCUCUCAGGGAAAGCGGCUAACGUGGCGCUACUCCGCCUCCCCUGUUCCUUACCCUUGGGGCGGCCGCCAUGUUUCCUGAACACAAAAUGGCGACACGUGGUUAGCAUUCGUCGCCAACGAGAAAUUGGGGUCGGCCCGAAAGCUCUAGAAUGCACCCCUCUUCCUCCCCGGGGCCUUCCACCUCCGCGAGUUUUAUGACUUAAAAAAGCCCACAGGCUGGUCUGAAGACUUCCUAGCAUGGGCUGUUGUGCUGGAGAGAACGAGAGCUACGAAGAGACUACAGUGCCUCUGACUUUUUCAUAGGACAGUUGGCCGAGGAAGACAAACAUAAAGAUGAAGUGCUUAAUUCAAGGUCACACAAUGUCGGGGAUGGACCUCCAGAUUUCCUUACUGGUGAGACGUGGUCUUGUAACACAGUGGUUAAGAAUGUGACUUUGGAGCCAGCCUGCUAGGGGCUGAAUUCUGACUCAGCCAUUUACUAACUGUGUGACCUUAGGUCACAGAAUUUUCCACACUCCUUGACAGAGGUGCUUAACCCUUAUCCAUCAGCAUUCUCAGACAGCACCUCCGGUUAGGGACAGUAUCUGACCGUCCGACAUCCCUGCAGCCCCCAUGUGUCACACAGACUCAGCCUCAGGUAGAUGGUUUCCGUAGAUGGUGGCUUUCUUUGGACCCUUGACAUCAACCAGUUACUAUUUGGUCUAGGGGUCUCACCAACGCUGCUCAUCUAGCAGGGCCACACAUAACAAAUAGAAGCAGAGCAAGCCCUGGAACUCCUGCCUGACAGUGACACGACGACAGAAACAUCUUACCAGUCAGAGGACCAUGAGAAAUAGAUUCAAGGAGCAUUCCACGUGCAAGUGAGUCUUGGCCCCAUCUGCCUUUGGAUUUUAGCCGUGAACUGGAAGGUAUUGGAAAGAAGACCCUCAGAAAUAGCUUAAUCAAAAUCCCUGCGUCUGAACCAAGUGCCUUAUUUCUCUGUGGGCCUCAAGCUUCGCUGACAUCUGUGGAGCACACUGUCCUAACAGGAGUGCUGUCUGAUUUCCCAACGCUCUGCAAAACAAACAGCCUGGAAGGGUGGCUGGUGGAAGGUGGUUUUUAGAGAGAGACUUGUAGAUAACAGGAAAGUGAAGGCUGUAAGGAAGGUUGUAAUUAAACAGCACAUGGAAACACAAUCACAUUAUUGUCCCAUUCCAUAGGGAUAAUGAUGACCACUUCAGUGGGAAAAGGAGAGG
rnacentral:lncRNA from 1 species